rnacentral:rRNA from 1 species
AGAGUUUGAUCCUGGCUCAGGACGAACGCUGGCGGCGUGCUUAACACAUGCAAGUCAAGGGGGCCCGCAAGGGCAACCGGCGAACGGGUGCGUAACACGUGAGCAACCUGCCUUAGUGUGGGGGAUAGCCGGCCCAACGGCCGGGUAAUACCGCAUACGCUCUUUGGGAGACAUCUCCUGUUGAGGAAACUUUCGAGGCACUAAGAGGGGCUCGCGGCCUAUCAGCUAGUUGGUGGGGUAAUGGCCUACCAAGGCAUCGACGGGUAGCUGGUCUGAGAGGAUGGCCAGCCACAUUGGGACUGAGAUACGGCCCAGACUCCUACGGGAGGCAGCAGUGGGGAAUAUUGCGCAAUGGGCGAAAGCCUGACGCAGCGACGCCGCGUGGGGGAUGAAGCAUUUCGGUGUGUAAACCCCUGUUGCUCGGGACGAACAACUGGUUUUGACCAGUCUGACGGUACCGAGUGAGGAAGCACCGGCUAACUCCGUGCCAGCAGCCGCGGUAAUACGGAGGGUGCGAGCGUUGUCCGGAAUCACUGGGCGUAAAGGGCGCGUAGGCGGCCGAGCAAGGUCGCGGUGAAAGCCCGGGGCUCAACCCCGGGUCGGCCGUGGCAACUACUCGGCUCGAGCACUGUAGGGGCGGGUGGAAUUCCGGGUGUAGCGGUGGAAUGCGUAGAGAUCCGGAAGAACACCGGUGGCGAAGGCGGCCCGCUGGGCAGGAAGACCCCUUUACGGGGGUCGGCUGACGCUGAGGCGCGACAGCGUGGGGAGCAAACAGGAUUAGAUACCCUGGUAGUCCACGCCGUAAACGAUGGGCACUAGGUGCCUGGGGGAGCGACCCUCCGGGUGCCGGCGCUAACGCAUUAAGUGCCCCGCCUGGGGACUACGGCCGCAAGGUUAAAACUCAAAGGAAUUGACGG